rnacentral:misc_RNA from 1 species
AAAAAAAAAAAAAAAAAAAAAAAAGCCCACCUCAAUGUUCUGUAAUCCCUAAAUGAAAAUCAAAUUUUCCCCGUAAUACAGUGAUAAAAUACAUGUGUUACUUAAAGGCAUGUACAAUCACAACAGUAUAGCAUCAAAGAGUAACAUUUUCACCAGUAAUCCCCACAGGAGCAUUUGCCGUCCUUAAAAUGAUGAAACCGCUUGUUAUCCCUGAUAAUAAGCUCCCUCCCAACAAUCCUUGACAUAAUUUUUAUUGCAUUGUGGCAGUCACCGCAUAUACGAAGAUUCUUCAUGAUCCUAAGAGUUUGCCUUGCAGGAGUACUAAUUAAACCAUAAGCAAUUGCCAAGCGCUCACUGUGAUACAAUAGGGCCUGCUCUUUUGCUUCCUCAUCAAUGUCAUGAAGCACAUAUCUUGUGUCUGGAACAUAGCCUGCUUCUCUCAUCUGCCCAUUUAAACCUUUCACCAUCUCAUACCCCUCUCCCCUGUAGGGUUCUGUACACCGAUACUCGGCCAGCCUAUUCUUCUCCUCCAGCAUAUUUGUAGCAGAUUGUUUCUUCCUCGGAGGCAGCGUGAUUUUGUCAGCACUGGCCUCUGAAGAAUCUACAGCAACCAACAACUCCUCAGCAUGAUCUUCAAGUUCAAUAUCUCCAUUAAUUUGCGCAAAAUUCCUCAGAGCCCUCCAAACUUCUGCUGUGG